rnacentral:rRNA from 1 species
CAGCCGCCACGGUAAUACGAAGGGGGCUAGCGUUGUUCGGAAUUACUGGGCGUAAAGGGCGCGUAGGCGGCCAUUCAAGUUAGAUGUGAAAGCCCUGGGCUCAACCUAGGAAUUGCAUUUGAUACUGUUUGGCUUGAGUUCGGGAGAGGUGAGUGGAAUUCCCAGUGUAGAGGUGAAAUUCGUAGAUAUCGGAAGGAACACCUGUGGCGAAAGCGGCUCACUGGACCAUUUCUGACGCUGAUGCACGAAAGCUAGGGGAGCAAACAGGAUUAGAUACCCGCGUAGUCCCUGUCUCUUAUAC